GGGCUUGUGGUUUAGUGGUAUAAUUUUCCCUUAGCAUCAGGCCAGGUCUUGAACCUGGAUAAAAGCGUGGGAAAGGUCCUGGGUUCGAUUCCCAGCAAGUCCA